CUGCCCUCCACAUCGGGAUAACCCCCGGAAACGGGAGCUAAUACCGGAUACGACCACUUCAGGCAUCUGAUGGUGGUGGAAAGUUCCGGCGGUGGAGGAUGAGCUCGCGGCCUAUCAGCUUGUUGGUGGGGUAACGGCCCACCAAGGCUUCGACGGGUAGCCGGCCUGAGAGGGUGACCGGCCACACUGGGACUGAGACACGGCCCAGACUCCUACGGGAGGCAGCAGUGGGGAAUAUUGGACAAUGGGCGAAAGCCUGAUCCAGCAACGCCGCGUGAGGGAUGACGGCCUUCGGGUUGUAAACCUCUUUCAGCGCAGACGAAGCGAAAGUGACGGUAUGCGCAGAAGAAGCACCGGCCAACUACGUGCCAGCAGCCGCGGUAAUACGUAGGGUGCGAGCGUUGUCCGGAAUUAUUGGGCGUAAAGGGCUCGUAGGCGGUCUGUCACGUCAGGAGUGAAAACUCGGGGCUCAACCCCGAGCCUGCUUCUGAUACGGGCAGACUGGAGGUAUGCAGGGGAGAACGGAAUUCCUGGUGUAGCGGUGAAAUGCGCAGAUAUCAGGAGGAACACCGGUGGCGAAGGCGGUUCUCUGGGCAUUACCUGACGCUGAGGAGCGAAAGUGUGGGGAGCGAACAGGAUUAGAUACCCUGGUAGUCCACACCGUAAACGUUGGGCGCUAGG
rnacentral:rRNA from 1 species